rnacentral:rRNA from 1 species
AGCAGCCGCGGUAAUUCCAGCUCCAAUAGCGUAUAUUAAAGUUGUUGCAGUUAAAAAGCUCGUAGUUGAAUUUCGAGAUCAAAUUGUUGGUCGUGCCUCGGUACGUACUGGCAUUAUUGAUUUCUCCCUUCUGAAGAACCACGAUGUCAUUAAUUUGGUGUCGUGGGGAAUCAGGACUGUUACUUUGAAAAAAUUAGAGUGUUUAAAGCAGGCUCACGCUUGAAUACAUUAGCAUGGAAUAAUGAAAUAGGACGUUUGAUUCUAUUUUGUUGGUUUCUAGGAUCGACGUAAUGAUUAAUAGGGAUAGUUGGGGGCAUUAGUAUUCAAUUGUCAGAGGUGAAAUUCUCGGAUUUAUUGAAGACUAACUACUGCGAAAGCAUUUGCCAAGGAUGUUUUCAUUAAUCAAGAACGAAAGUUAGGGGAUCGAAGACGAUCAGAUACCGUCGUAGU